CCUACGGGAGGCAGCAGUGGGGAAUAUUGGACAAUGGGCGAAAGCCUGAUCCAGCAAUGCCGCGUGAGUGAUGAAGGCCUUAGGGUUGUAAAGCUCUUUUACCAGGGAUGAUAAUGACAGUACCUGGAGAAUAAGCUCCGGCUAACUCCGUGCCAGCAGCCGCGGUAAUACGGAGGGAGCUAGCGUUGUUCGGAAUUACUGGGCGUAAAGCGUACGUAGGCGGCGAUUCAAGUCAGAGGUGAAAGCCUGGAGCUCAACUCCAGAACUGCCUUUGAAACUAGAUUGCUAGAAUCGUGGAGAGGUGAGUGGAAUUCCGAGUGUAGAGGUGAAAUUCGUAGAUAUUCGGAAGAACACCAGUGGCGAAGGCGGCUCACUGGACACGUAUUGACGCUGAGGUACGAAAGCGUGGGGGGCAAACAGGAUUAGAUACCCUGUAGUCCACGCGUAACGAUGAUACUAGCUGCGACGGGUUACGUUAGUAACGUUUAGGUUGGUCGGCGAGCUAACGACAUUAAGUUAUUCCGUCCGUCGGGUAGGUACGGUCGGCGAACGAAUUAAAACGUUAAAGUAAAGUUAGUACGGCGUGAGACGUGCCGACGGACGACGACGAGGGAGGUAGG
rnacentral:rRNA from 1 species